GGGGGCGUAAUUUGGCUUCGACACAUUGCAGUGUGUUUUGAGAGCAUGCCGAGUUUUGAAUGGAACUCGUUAAUCAACGUUCAAAAACAUAAAUGCAGAACCACUUAGUGGCUCUACAGCUGUUCCUGCUUAAUUUAAGCAUUAACUAACUGUCUUGUGAGCGGGCGUGUCUGUUAGCUUAGCUUACUCGUAUAAUCCAACAGAACUUUUUGACAAGACUUUUUAGUUGUGUGGUCAAAUCGUACACUGAACUAGCUUUCACUUGUUCUGGUCUCUUGCAGCACAGUGAAAGUAUAAACAAGAGAUAAGCAUGUAGCGCUUGAAAUUCAUCGUUCUGUGGACAUGGGUUCGACUCCCAUCGCCUCCACCA
rnacentral:tmRNA from 1 species